AUUGAACGCUGGCGGCAUGCCUUACACAUGCAAGUCGAACGGCAGCACGGGUGCUUGCACCUGGUGGCGAGUGGCGAACGGGUGAGUAAUACAUCGGAACAUGUCCUGUAGUGGGGGAUAGCCCGGCGAAAGCCGGAUUAAUACCGCAUACGAUCUACGGAUGAAAGCGGGGGACCUUCGGGCCUCGCGCUAUCGGGUUGGCCGAUGGCUGAUUAGCUAGUUGGUGGGGUAAAGGCCUACCAAGGCGACGAUCAGUAGCUGGUCUGAGAGGACGACCAGCCACACUGGGACUGAGACACGGCCCAGACUCCUACGGGAGGCAGCAGUGGCGAAUUUUGGACAAUGGGCGAAAGCCUGAUCCAGCAAUGCCGCGUGUGUGAAGAAGGCCUUCGGGUUGUAAAGCACUUUUGUCCGGAAAGAAAUCCUUGGCCCUAAUACGGGCGGGGGAUGACGGUACCGGAAGAAUAAGCACCGGCUAACUACGUG
rnacentral:rRNA from 1 species